rnacentral:rRNA from 1 species
UACGGAGGGUGCGAGCGUUGUCCGGAAUCAUUGGGCGUAAAGGGCGCGUAGGCGGCCUUCUAAGUCGAACGUGAAAUCCCCGGGCUCAACCCGGGAACUGCGUCCGAUACUGGAAGGCUUGAAUCCGGGAGAGGGAUGCGGAAUUCCAGGUGUAGCGGUGAAAUGCGUAGAUAUCUGGAGGAACACCGGUGGCGAAGGCGGCAUCCUGGACCGGCAUUGACGCUGAGGCGCGAAAGCCAGGGGAGCAAAGCGGG